GACGAACGCUGGCGGCGUGCCUAAUACAUGCAAGUAGAACGCUGAAGAGAGGAGCUUGCUCUUCUUGGAUGAGUUGCGAACGGGUGAGUAACGCGUAGGUAACCUGCCUUGUAGCGGGGGAUAACUAUUGGAAACGAUAGCUAAUACCGCAUAACAAUGGAUGACACAUGUCAUUUAUUUGAAAGGGGCAAUUGCUCCACUACAAGAUGGACCUGCGUUGUAUUAGCUAGUAGGUGAGGUAAUGGCUCACCUAGGCGACGAUACAUAGCCGACCUGAGAGGGUGAUCGGCCACACUGGGCCUGGGACACGGCCCAGACUCCUACGGGAGGCAGCAGUAGGGGAUCUUCGGCGAUGGGGGCAACCCUGACCGAGCAACGCCGCGUGAGUGAAGAAGGUUUUCGGAUCGUAAAGCUCUGUUGUAAGUCAAGAACGGGUGUGAGAGUGGAAAGUUCACACUGUGACGGUAGCUUACCAGAAAGGGACGGCUAACUACGUG
rnacentral:rRNA from 1 species